rnacentral:rRNA from 1 species
AGGGUGUAAACGCUGCAGACUUGGUGUUGGAGGCCCUUUGGGGGCAUUCAGUGCCGGAGAGAAGUUGUUAAGUCUGCUACUUGGGGAGUGCGUCCGCAAGGAUGAAACUUAAAGGAAUUGGCGGGGGAGCACCGCAACGGGAGGAGCGUGCGGUUUAAUUGGAUUCAACACCGUAAAACUCACCAGGGAAGACUGUUACAUGAAGGCCGAGAUGAAGACUCUGCUAGAUUUUCAGAGAGGAGGUGCAUGGCGUCAGUGACU